GCCCAGGUGGUGAAAUUGGCAGACACGCUACUUUGAGGGGGUAGUGCCGCAAGGCGUGCUGGUUCGAGUCCAGUCCUGGGCA
rnacentral:tRNA from 1 species